rnacentral:rRNA from 1 species
CUAUGUAGCAAGGUUAAGUACUUAAGGUAUGGAGCCGAAGGGAAACCGAGUCUGAAAAGGGCGAAAAGUUGCAUGGUGUAGACCCGAAACCGGGUGACCUAUCCAUGGCCAGGUUGAAGCGAGAGUAAAAUCUCGUGGAGGACCGAACCACGUUGGUGUUGAAAAACCAUGGGAUGAGCUGUGGAUAGCGGAGAAAUUCCAAUCGAACUCGGAGAUAGCUGGUUCUCCUCGAAAUAGCUUUAGGGCUAGCGUCGUGUAAUUGAGUAAUGGAGGUAGAGCACUGAAUGGGCUAGGGGCUAUAGUAGUUACCGAACCCUAUCAAACUCCGAAUGCCAUAUACUUGUAUCACGGCAGUCAGACUGCGAAUGAUAAGAUCCGUAGUCAAAAGGGAAACAGCCCAGACCAUCAGCUAAGGUCCCAAAGUGUAAGUUAAGUGGAAAAGGAUGUGGGAUUUCUAAGACAACUAGGAUGUUGGCUUAGAAGCAGCCACUCAUUUAAAGAGUGCGUAAUAGCUCACUAGUCAAGAGAUCCUGCGCCGAAGAUGUCCGGGGCUCAAACUUACCACCGAAGCUAUGGGUGUACACUAUGUGUACGCGGUAGAGGAGCUUUCUGUAUGGGUUGAAGUCGUACCGUAAGGAGCGGUGGACUGUACAGAAGUGAGAAUGCUGGCAUAAGUAGCGAGAAAUAAGUGAGAAUCUUAUUGGCCGAAAACCUAAGGUUUCCUGAGGAAGGUUCGUCCGCUCAGGGUUAGUCGGGACCUAAGCCGAGGCCGAAAGGCGUAGGUGAUGGACAAUCGGUUGAUAUUCCGAUACCACCUAUUUACGUUUGAGAAAUGGGGUGACGCAGUAGG